GUGCUCGCUUUGGCAGCACAUAUGCUAAAAUUGGAACAAUAUAGAGAAGAUAAGCAUGGCCCCUGUGCAAGGGUGACACACAAAUUUGUGACACAGUCCAUGUUUAA
ensembl:snRNA U6 U6 spliceosomal RNA